rnacentral:rRNA from 1 species
UACAGAGAGUGCGAGCGUUAAUCGGAAUUACUGGGCGUAAAGCGUGCGUAGACGGCUAUCUAAGUCGGGUGUGAAAGCCCCGGGCUCAACCUGGGAAUUGCAUUCGAGACUGAAUAGCUAGGGUACGGUAGAGGGAAGCGGAAUUUCCGGUGUAGCGGUGAAAUGCGUAGAUAAUCGGAAGGAACAUCAGUGGCGAAAGCGGCUUCCUGGACCAGUACCGACGUCAGGCACGAAAGCGUGGGGAGCAAACAGG